CGUAGGUGGCAAGCGUUGCCCGGAUUUAUGGGUUUAAAGGGUGCGUAGGCGGUCCUAUAAGUCAGUGCUGAAAUAUCCCGGCUUAACCGGGAGGGUGGCAUUGAUACUGCAGGACUUGAGCAGAGUUGAGGUUGGCGGAAUUGACGGUGUAGCGGUGAAAUGCUUAGAUAUCGUCAAGAACACCGAUAGUGAAGACAGCUAACUAGGCUUUAACUGACGCUGAGGCACGAAAGUGUGGGGAUCAAACAGGAUUAGAUACCCUGGUAGUCCACACUGUAAACGCUGAUUACUCGAUGUUGGCGAUACACAGCCAGCGUCUUAGCGCAAGCGAUAAGUAAUCCACCUGGGGAGUACGCCGGCAACGGUG
rnacentral:rRNA from 1 species